ACAGGUGCUGCAUUGGCUGUCGUCAGCUCGUGUGUGAAAUGUUGGGUUAAGUCCCGCAACGAGCGCAACCCCUACUGCCAGUUACUACAGGUGAAGCUGAGGACUCUGGCGGAACUGCCGGUGACAAACCGGAGGAAGGUGGGAUGACGUCAAGUCAUCAUGGCCCUUAUGUCCAGGGCUACACACGUGCUACAAUGGGCGAGACAGAGCGACGCGAAGCCGCGAGGUGGAGCAAAUCGCAGAAAAUCGCCCUCAGUUCGGAUUGGAGUCUGAAACCCGACUCCAUGAAGGUGGAAUCGCUAGUAAUCGCGCAUCAGCAUGGCGCGGUGAAUACGUUCCCGGGCCUU
rnacentral:rRNA from 1 species